GGUGGAGUCAGAUAGUGAUACAGAAUGAGCAGCAAGAACAGGUUUUAGUACAGUAAAAGAAACUGCUGGAGCCAAAUACCAAAGAAAACGUGCAACUUCAGGACAGCGGAACAUAAUACAUGGGAGGCAGAGAUCUAGCUCGAAACAUGGGAAAUAUCUUACAAUAUUGUCUCCAGAUGAGAUCCUCAAAAAGAUGUCAUGCUAUACAGU